GUUGAUAACCACAAUCUUUCCGAGAAUAUCUGAAAGGGAUAUUCACUGUUAGUCUGUGUAUUCGGCAACUGUAAUGCGCUUAGUGCUGAGCUAGGUGCUAUGCUGGGUACAGAGCUAUAGACCAUGGUUCCUAUGUUCAAAGAUCUAACAAUUGAAUGGGAUUAGGACUGAGGAGCAUUCUGAGAACCAUUUUAAAUAUAAUAGAGGAUUAUCCCUCACCAAUGACUAUUUAUGAAUAGUCCUCGCAUCAAGUUUAAGUUAAAACUAUCUUCUCAAGGAAAACCUCAAUGGUUCAGAAAUAGCUUCGGCUACAGAAAUCUGUAUUGUUUAUUCACUUGUUCGCUCGUAAACACUUCGUAUGAACUCACCUUUGCUUUAGACAUGCCACUAAGUGGUAGAGUUACAGUUCCCUACCCUCAAAUUUCUCAGCUGCUGUUCUCUCUGCCUGGAAUAUUCUUCACCUAACUCCCACCUCCCAUUGCCACCAUCACCUUGUAUUUAACUCCUGUUCAUUUUUAUAGAUAUUAGCCUUCCUCGACUCUCUUGACUGGGUUAAAACACUGCUGUAUAUUCCCAUAGCUUUUAUCCCCUUGGGAAAGUUAUCUUACUUGUAAUUUUUUACCCAAUGUGUGUCUUCCUUAGUAGAAUGGAAGUCCCAUGGGGAUAGGGCCAUGCUUUUUCUGUUCACUACAAUGCUUGAAAUAGUGUCUCAAAAUAGCAAGGACUAAAUAUUCAUUAAUUUGGCAGGUAUUUAUGGAACAUCUAUGUGUCCAGCAUUGUUCUUAUCACUGAGGAUACGAAAGAGGGGGGAAAACCCAUAUAUGGUUCCUUCCUUGAAGGAGAUUAUAAGUUAGUCAAAGUGUUGAUUUAAUGAUGGAAGAAUGUUUAACUCAAACUCCUUAUUUCCCAGGUGAAGAAAUGAUUGCCAGAGAGACUAAGUGACUUAAGUCAUAUGAAGAAUUUGAGUGCCCUGGAAUUCCCUUUACUUUUAAAACAUACUAUGUACAGGGCAGCAAUGGUCACUGGAAUAGUGCUAUUUACAUGACUAAACCACAAGUCGAGGUGCAGACAUGUGAAAAUUAAAAAAAAAAAUACACCAACAUUAAAAUAAAUACUGCAUAAUGACAGGUCUCGAAUGUCAAGACACAGUCUCAGUGUAUUUCGUAUUGCACCACAUAAAGAGAAGGCAUUUUUAGUGAUACUCAUUUUUAACUUUUGCACCGUAUCAAGCAUGAUAGUUUUGAAUGGUCAACACUGAACUUAAAAAGGAACACAAGAGAGCAAUUUUUGUGCGUGGCCUUAAACAAAUGAGUCCAACUCAUCUUGGCAUUAGUGGGUACCAUGCCUGCUGGAGCUCUGAAGUCUGCCACUGUUCACGCUGUCACACGACUGGCUGCUCCCGUCCAGAGGAGUGCUGACGUUUUCGUCCUGGACCAAGUCUUUGGUCUCUUGCUUUUCACCUGAUGCUUCCUAGGACUUCAUGCCUUGACUUGUAACAUGGCUUAAUGGCUGGAUAGCUCCAUUUCUGUGGCAUCACAGGACUUUGGGGUCAGAGAAAUGAAGAAAAAGGAAUGAUAAAAAUAUAAAGGUGCCAUUGAAAAGGGCUUUUGUUGCAUGAAACUGACUCUUUGAGAUUAAUCCAUGGCUUCAGAUUGGACCAAAACGAUAUUGAAUAUAUCGAUAGUUCCCUAGUGUGUAUAGCUUUAUAGCACUGGCCACUACUUUGAAGUUUCCCAAGAAUUUCAGCUGUGAGGAGUGGAAAAGGAUGUGAUAAGAAAAGAUGUUGGAUACAAAGUCUGACUCCAUGAAGACACUUUCUUAGUGUCUUGGAACCUGGUUUUACAACAAGGCCACGGGCCCGAAUGAUUUCCACCUCCAGCUGUCCCUUUUUGUCCAUCAUGCCUACCUGAAUGUCACCUAAUGGCGUGUGAGGAAG